CUCUCCCGUUUUUACCUCCUCACUUAGGGUCACUUUCUUCCCUCACAUCCCUGACUUUUUCCAUCCCAGAGAGGGGGCAAAUGGUAAUUAUAUGCCCCUCUGCAUGGGAUUUUUUGGUUUGACGUAACUCGCAUACCCCUUUUUAUUAUAUAUUAUUUGCAAACAACAAUAAUGUUUGUGUUCUUAUUUAAUUGUUCUUGUUCUAAUUUAUACAAUUAUAUAAUAAAGAUAUUUGCAGUGACCUUUCAGGGCAUGCCAUCCACUAUAUAUCUUAUAUACGUCGUUUA